GACGAGGGGUCCUAGCGUUGUUCGGAAUCAUUGGGCGUAAAGCGGGUGCAUGUGGCUUUGUAAGUCAGGUGUGAAAGCCCAGGGCUCAACCCUGGAAGUGCAUUUGAUACUGCGAAGCUUGAGUGCUGGAGAGGUAAGUAGAAUUCCUGGUGUAGUGGUGAAAUACGUAGAUAUCAGGAGGAAUACCGGAGGCGAAGGCGGCUUACUGGCCAGACACUGACACUCAGACCCGAAAGCGUGGGGAUCAAACAGG
rnacentral:rRNA from 1 species